rnacentral:rRNA from 1 species
CGCAUCUGUGCAUGCAGCAUAUCAAUAAGCGGAGGAAAAGAAACUAACAAGGAUUCCCCUAGUAACGGCGAGUGAAGCGGGAAGAGCUCAAAUUUGAAAUCUUAAAGGGUUUCCCUUUACGAAUUGUAGUUUAAAGAAGUGUUUUCUGUUGAGGUUUUGGUAAAAGUUCUUUGGAAUAGGACAUCAUAGAGGGUGAGAAUCCCGUAUUUGACCUUUACUUUCAACUUUGUGAUACACUUUCAAAGAGUCGGAUUGUUUGGGAAUGCAGUCCAAAAUGGGUGGUAAAUUUCAUCUAAAGCUAAAUAUUGGCGAGAGACCGAUAGCGGACAAGUACCGUGAGGGAAAGAUGAAAAGAACUUUGAAAAGAGAGUUAAACAGUACGUGAAAUUGUCAAAAGGGAAGCGUUUGACACCAGUGUUGUUUUUCUGAAAAUCAAUUAAAGAACUGUUUAUGCUAAGUUGUUUAGACUUUAUCAGCUAUCUGUUUAGUUUUGAGCUUUUCUUUAAUGCACUUUUCAGUUAACAAGUCAACAUCAAUUUCUUUUGCUGUAAAAAAGCUUGAGGAAGGUGGCUUGAGAUUCGUCUUAAGUGUUUAUAGCCUCUUGCCUAUGCAGUCGGAGAGAUUGAGGUCUGCAGCGUAGAUCCUUCGGGGCUAAAUGCAUUUGUGCUAGGUUAUAGCAUUUAUAGACAACUUGUUGACUAUGAUUUGUCUUGUAGCUUACUCGCUUAUGUUAUUUUACCUACGCUUAGGAUGUUUACAGCAGUAUAGACUGU